GGGGGAAAUACUUCUGUGUAUGUUUAUAAAUAAAGUACUUGCUUGGCCAAUGAGACAGCAGGUUAGGCUGGACUAGGAGUCAAAGAGGAUUCUGGGAAAUGUAGUAGAGAAGUAGUGUUCCAGACAGGAAGUGACAUAGCAAGGAGACUCAUAUUUAAGAAGAGGAAAAAGGAAGUGUUGCUCUCUUUCCCCUCGGCUCCUGCUCCAUCCUGCUCCAUCCUGCUCCAGCGGCAAGAUGUGAUCCACCAGCUAGGAGGGACGCCAAUAAGGCGUCCGAUAAGGUGAUACAAAAGGAUACAUUACCAUUAAGCCCCAAAUGGUUUCUUAAGAGUGUCUUUUGUUUGUGUAAGGAGAAUCUUCGUUCUUGGUUUUAUUCUCACAGCUACCUUAUUACUCCAGCAUCCAUGCCCUCUGUUCGGAAACUCUCACGCAGCUGGGUUGCAGUUCAUGUGCUCUGUGCUUCCUUUAUCUUCUGUAUAAUACAAUUUGCUGUGUAUGUACUUGCUUCAACGACAUGUGAAGCACUUCACACUGGAGUAUUGCAAACCUUGAGCUGA
rnacentral:lncRNA from 1 species